AAUCAACAAUGAAAAUGGCGAAACGAAACUUGUGAAUCGUGCAUUUGCUCUUCAUGGUAGCUGCCAAAAAAUCGAAUCAAACUUAUGGGACACUGGAUUACAGGUUGCUGCCACUACUCCAUGUGCCCGCAAUUGUCUUGCGUGUAUGAUUACACUAACGGCGUCGCCCACCACGGCGGAAGUGUUUUGCGUACACGCGUUUCAGCAUGAAGCCUGCAGGUGGACGUAAAUUGUAGAAGGCAGCUAGUGGGGGAGAAGAUCAUGGUCAUAGGUCAUGUGACUCCUGGAGCUCCCAGUGGGCUCCCUUGUGGAGUACUUUUCAGAACACACACACAUACAGUUUGCUCACAGAACCAACGAGUAGGAUGUUGCUUGAAUACUGAGAGAAAAUGGCGUAACACAUACAAAUAUCGUGUGACACAUAUGACAAUAAAAACAUUUUUCACAAGGGAUGCAUGAGACACUGUCGCAAUAUUGUGUGCAUGAACCAUUGUGUGUGACACAAGCCGUGGGGGCACACCGCCUCGGACACAUUUUGGGAAGCAUAAAACA